rnacentral:ncRNA from 2 species
GAAAAUCAUAGAGGUUGCUGUAACCAUGAGUCACUCGCGGAGUAUUGAUAGAUACUGUGAAACGAGUAAAAGGGGUUGUGGCCGAAGCACUGAUACUGUCAUGUCAGCAAGCUGGGGCAUUAGUUAAUAGCUAAUGAACUGUCGCAAUUGCGGGGUGCUAUGACAGAA